CACCCCUGUCAAUGGGCAAAGGGAUACUUUAUUGGUGGUGGUGUUCUUACACAAGUCAGUGGCAGAGAAGAGAUCAGUUCCUUGUUCAUUCUAGCUUGCUGCCUAUUUUGGGGGCCAAAGCUAUUGUAUGCCUAGGACUCAUAA